AAGGGGCGUGGCCCCUGAGUGACAAGUUGGCUCUGGAGCCUGGCAGGGAGAGUGACAUCUCAGAAGGACUCCCUGGAGAGCCCCUCUCCCCUCUCAUCCACACACACACCAGAGGGCCCUCUGCAACCCCACCCCCGCCAUGAGCCCCUGCCUCCUGGGCUGUGUGGUCUUCUGUCUCCUGCAGGCAGGGGCGGUCCAUGCUGGGGUCACUCAGGACCCCAGAUUCCAGGUCGUGAGGUCAGGACAGAAAGCGACACUGAGAUGCACUCAGGAUCUGAAACACGGUUAUAUGUACUGGUACCGAGAAGACGUGGGACGCGGACUGAGGCUGAUCCAUUACUCAAAUGGCCCUCCCGACACACAGACGGGAGAUGUAACCGAGGGCUACAGCGUCUCCAGACCAAGCACAGAGGACUUCCCUCUCACACUGGAGUCUGCCAACCGCUCCCAGACAUCUGUGUACUUCUGCGCCAGCAGUUACUCCACAGCGCUGCAGGGUCACCUCCUCUCUGUGCAAAAAGGCAAGGCAGCCCCUUGCUUGUAGGCUCCUAGCACCA